rnacentral:rRNA from 1 species
CACGUAGGGGGCGAGCGUUGUCCGGAUUUAUUGGGCGUAAAGAGCUCGUAGGCGGCUCGGUAAGUCGGGUGUGAAACCUCCAGGCUCAACCUGGAGACGCCACCCGAUACUGCCGUGGCUAGAGUCCGGUAGAGGAGCGUAGAAUUCCUGGUGUAGCGGUGAAAUGCGUAGAUAUCGUAAGGAAGACCAGUGGCGAAGGCGAGUCUCUGGACAGUUACUGACGCUGAGGCACGAAGGCCAGGGGAGCAAACGGG